rnacentral:rRNA from 1 species
GAUGAACGCUAGCGAUAGGCUUAACACAUGCAAGUCGAGGGGCAGCAUGGUCUUAGCUUGCUAAGACUGAUGGCGACCGGCGCACGGGUGCGUAACGCGUAUGCAACUUGCCUCACAGAGGGGGAUAACCCGUCGAAAGACGGACUAAUACCGCGUACACUCCAUCUUGGGCAUCCAAGGUAGAGGAAAUGAAAUUCGCUGUGAGAUAGGCAUGCGUCCCAUUAGCUAGUUGGUGAGGUAACGGCUCACCAAGGCGACGAUGGGUAGGGGAACUGAGAGGGUGAACCCCCACACUGGUACUGAGACACGGACCAGACUCCUACGGGAGGCAGCAGUGAGGAAUAUUGGUCAAUGGGCGAGAGCCUGAACCAGCCAAGUCGCGUGAAGGAUGACUGUCUUAUGGAUUGUAAACUUCUUUUAUACGGGAAUAACAAGAGUCACGGGUGACUCCCUGCAUGUACCGUAUGAAUAAGCAUCGGCUAACUCCGUA